rnacentral:rRNA from 1 species
UAACGACUCUCGGCAACGGAUAUCUCGGCUCACGCAUCGAUGAAGAACGUAGCAAAAUGCGAUACUUGGUGUGAAUUGCAGAAUCCCGUGAACCAUCGAGUUUUUGAACGCAAGUUGCGCCCGAAGCCAUCCGGCCGAGGGCACGCCUGCCUGGGCGUCACGC